UGAUAAUGUCAGGAGGUCCAAGAGGAGGUUACAAAUCCACACGGUGAAGAACAGCCUGGCAAAACCCUGCUGGUGCCUUUCCUGAAGCAGGAAUAGACAUGAGUAUCUACUUAUGGCAAGACUGGGAGUGGACCUAGAUAUAAAAAUGAGACUCUGUUUGUCCAUAAGAAGAUGUCUUCAUGCUCUAAGUUUCAACACAGCCACCUAAAUAGCCAAAGCUGAAAUUAAGUCAUGGGAAGAAAAGUGGAAGAAUAAAGGACUGUCCUUUCUUUUACUGUCUUCUGGA
rnacentral:lncRNA from 1 species